CACUCCAGGGCUUACUAAACUGACCAUCACGUGGUCUUUGGCCUAAUACUGUCAUUUCUCUUCAGAGCCAAUUUGCACGUUACGUGCCCCUGUGGAGGCUGCCAAGAGCAUCCUUGUGCGGUAGCAGCAGCUUUAAAUGGGCUGUAAUCUAUCUGUGAGCUGCCUCUCCAGGGCCUUGCACCACCUGGGUGCAAGCUGAGAGAGUCUCCAUGCCAGCACUACACAUUCCUGGCACCUAGACACCUCAAGCCAGCGAAAAGAGAUGGGCACUCGUUACAGAACCAAUCCAGAUGUUUACUGCCACCAGCUCACCCUUCUAACUGCGACGGCAAGGAGUUUACUUGGGAGAGCAGCAAUGCCACGUCUUAAGCAGGAACAUGCGGAAGAUGGAAUCAUCUUGCAUUUCCCCAGUAACAGAAAAUGAGGGUCUCAGGACUGAGAGACUGAAUUCCCCCUCCCCAAUGAAACGGUCAGUCUCCUGCAGUCUUGGCAAGGUCUCUUGCACAUCCCAGAAUCACCAAGGUUUAGGCCCUGAGUCAGGCUCACAACUAUUGGCCAUCACUAUAAUCUCAGAGAGAUUUUUGGCAAUGACUACCCCGCUAGAGAUGGAAAAUAGAUUUUAGCAUGCUUGUACUUGCAGUGUUCAGAGUGUUAUCAGCCUUGCUUUAUCCCUACAAGAAUCAGGGUCAAAUGGCAGUCGGUUUUGCACCCAAGAAAGGGUUCGGUUGACGAUGAACACAUCGCUGUCCUCUCUCCAUGGAGUAAUCUUUGGAGGCAAUUCCUACCAAACUUCAUUCUUCUUGACAACAUUGAUUACAUCUUAUCAUAGUUUUUGUGCAUUAAAACUUUUAAAAGCUUUUAAAACACCAUUGCAAAUCUGGCUGCUGAUGGUCAGGACAAUAAAAGCAUAGCAACACGCUGGAAGGAGUGCAAUGCUAUCACCUAUUUUCUCUCUGUAGGUGUGUAGAUCUUGUCAAAAAUUACAAUGUGCAUUUGUCCCCCCCUCCACACACGCACACCCAUUUCCAUCCCUCCAGAUGGUACUGACCACCCCAGUUGGUUCAUGUACUAGUUUGCAGUGACAGAUGUGAAAAUCUUCUCUCAGUAUGUGAAACUCCCUGCCACAGGAGAUUGUUGGCCCCCUUAUUGGCAAUGUUCCAUAACCAGCUGAAAAAAAAAUAUUUUAAAUCUGGCAUGCUUUUUAGGCCCCCCCCCACCCUUUGGCUGUUUUUGAUUCAUUACUUUUGUGCUGCUGUUGUAGUCUUGCAUUUUAAAAAUACUGUUUUUAUAAGCCUUGUGUUAUGUUAGUUGCCAUGAACACUUCUAAAUGGGGGGGCAAAGGUGAGCUGUAAAGUUUUUAAAAAAUGAAAGUCUUCAAUGCAAA